CCGAGUUCAUGCCCUUACGGGUAGAUCUCCCACCCUUUGUAUACUAUACCUUUGUUGCUUUGGCGAGCCGCCUAGCUACUGGCUUCGGCUGGUAAGUGCUCGCCAGAGAACCCAAAACCCUGAAUUAUUAGUGUCGACUGAGUAAAAUAUUUAAUAUUUA
rnacentral:misc_RNA from 1 species